AUUGAACGCUGGCGGCAGGCUUAACACAUGCAAGUCGAGCGGAGAUGAGGUGCUUGCACCUUAUCUUAGCGGCGGACGGGUGAGUAAUGCUUAGGAAUCUGCCUAUUAGUGGGGGACAACAUUCCGAAAGGAAUGCUAAUACCGCAUACGCCCUACGGGGGAAAGCAGGGGAUCUUCGGACCUUGCGCUAAUAGAUGAGCCUAAGUCGGAUUAGCUAGUUGGUGGGGUAAAGGCCUACCAAGGCGACGAUCUGUAGCGGGUCUGAGAGGAUGAUCCGCCACACUGGGACUGAGAAACGGCCCAGACUCCUACGGGAGGCAGCAGUGGGGAAUAUUGGACAAUGGGCGGAAGCCUGAUCCAGCCAUGCCGCGUGUGUGAAGAAGGCCUUUUGGUUGUAUAGCACUUUAAGCGAGGAGGAGGCUACCGAGAUUAAUACUCUUGGAUAGUGGACGUUACUCGCAGAAUAAGCACCGGCUAACUCUGUGCCAGCAGCCGCCGCAGUAA
rnacentral:rRNA from 1 species